CUGGCUACCCCUCUACCCCAGAGUCCACCUUUUCUGCUCUGGAAGCUUCCAGAAGCUGUCCUCAAUCAGGUCCAGAAGAGGCAGGCCACUCUCCGAAUGACUCAGUUGACAGGGCUUGAUGUAGUCCAAGAUGGCUCUGACUUGCUGGGUAGGCCAGGAUAGCCUGAACUCUCUCUCUCCCUGGCUCUAACCUCAGAGUGCUGGCAUUGCAGGCGUGCACGGCCAUGUCAUUUUCUUUGACUUUAUACCUUAAACUCAUGACUCAAUUACACGGAGAGCUUCCGGAGCCUCGGGCAGGCAGCCGCAGCACCUGGUUCACCUGGUCCUUUUUCUAAGACUCUGAGAAGGUACAGGGCCAGGAGGGCCUGACUGUGGAAUGACCUCUGCUGGCACGUGUCUUCCAACACUUGGUUCCCAGCUACUGGUGCUGCGGUCUGGGAUGUUGAGGAGACUUGGGUGUGGGGCCUCGCUGGUAAAAUAGGUCACUAGUGGAGAACUCUGCUCUGCUUCUCCACCGUGGUGGACUGAAACCUCGGGGGCUGUGAGAUGAAAUAAACCCUUCUUCCUGUAAGUGG
rnacentral:lncRNA from 1 species